UUCGCAGCGCACAGACAGGGAGGGAACUCCCAAGAAUUGCUGUGAGGAAAGUCCCUGUGCCUUUGGGCAGAGAGUGCCAGCAGGAGAUUGCGAGAUGUCGGAAUGUUCAUUGACUCAGCGACGCUUUGGCGACGCUACGCGGAGGUGCAUUGGCAAGACGGCAUCCUUUAUAGCAGCACAGCCAUGUCGUGAGUGUUCGAGCAAGGAUGCCAACUGAACGGGGCUCAUUCUC
rnacentral:RNase_MRP_RNA from 15 species